rnacentral:rRNA from 1 species
UACGUAAGGACCAAGCGUUGUUCGGAUUUACUGGGCGUAAAGGGCGCGUAGGCGGCGUGGUAAGUCACUUGUGAAAUCUCUGAGCUUAACUCAGAACGGUCAAGUGAUACUGCUGUGCUAGAGUGCAGAAGGGGCAAUCGGAAUUCUUGGUGUAGCGGUGAAAUGCGUAGAUAUCAAGAGGAACACCUGAGGUGAAGACGGGUUGCGUGGGCUGACACUGACGCUGAGGCGCGAAAGCCAGGGGAGCAAACGGG